CAUGGUCUUAGCUUGCUAAGGCCGAUGGCGACCGGCGCACGGGUGAGUAACGCGUAUCCAACCUGCCUUACACUCUUGGACAGCCUUCUGAAAGGGAGAUUAAUACAAGAUGUUAUCAUGAGUCCGCAUGUUCACAUGAUUAAAGGUAUUCCGGUAGACGAUGGGGAUGCGUUCCAUUAGAUAGUAGGCGGGGUAACGGCCCACCAAGCCUUCGAUGGAUAGGGGUUCUGAGAGGAAGGUCCCCACAUUGGAACUGAGACACGGUCCAAACUCC
rnacentral:rRNA from 1 species